rnacentral:rRNA from 1 species
AUUGAACGCUGGCGGCAGGCCUAACACAUGCAAGUCGAGCGAGCGGCGGAAGGGUGAGUCAUGUAUGGGGACUGCCCGAUAGAGGGGGAAAACUACUGGAAACGGUGGCUAAUACCGCAUACUAUCGGAUAACCCAUAUGGGAUUUGCUAGUAGGUGGGGUAAAGGCUCACCUAGGCGACGAUCGCUAGCUGGUCUGAGAGGAUGAAACGCCACACUGUGACUGAUACACGGCCCAGACUCCUACGGAGGCAGCAGUGGGGAAUAUUGCACAAUGGGCGCAAGCCUGCUGCAGCCAUGCCGCGUGUAUGAAGAAGUCCUUAGGGUUGUAAAGUACUUUCAGCGGGGAGGCGUUACCCGCAGAAGAAGCACCGGCUAACUCCGUGCCAGCAGCCGCGGUAAUAC